rnacentral:rRNA from 1 species
CCCUUAGAUGUUCUGGGCCGCACACGCGCUACACUGAAGGAGGCAGCGUGUACUCCUGGAUCGAAAGAUUUGGGUAACCCGCGAAUCUCCUUCGUGCUAGGGAUUGAGGUUUGCAAUUAUCCUUCACGAACGAGGAAUUCCCAGUAAGUGCAAGUCAUAAGCUUGCGCUGACUACGUCCCUGCCCUUUGUACACACCGCCCGUCGCUACUACCGAUUGAAUGAUUUAGUGAGGACUUCGGACUGGGACCGAUGCGGCUUUCGGGCUGCGUCGGUAUUCUGGAAAGAUGUCCAAACUGUAUCAUUUAGAGGAAGUAAAAGUCGUAACA